rnacentral:rRNA from 1 species
GACGAACGCUGGCGGCGUGCUUAACACAUGCAAGUCGAACGGGCCUGCCUGGCUUUGGUUGGGUGGGUGAGUGGCGAACGGGUGAGUAACACGUGAGUAACCUGCCCUCUUCUCUUGGAUAACUGCUUGAAAGGGCGGCUAAUACGGGAUGUUCUGGCUGCCUCGCAUGGGGUGGUUUGGAAAGAUUCGGCCUGGUUUUGGUUGUUUUGGUGGGGGAUGGGCUCGCGGCUUAUCAGCUUGUUGGUGGGGUGAUGGCCUACCAAGGCGGUGACGGGUAGCCGGCCUGAGAGGGUGGACGGUCACACUGGGACUGAGACACGGCCCAGACUCCUGCGGGAGGCAGCAGUGGGGGAUUUUGCACAAUGGGCGCAAGCCUGAUGCAGCGACGCCGCGUGAGGGAUGGAGGCCUUCGGGUUGUGAACCUCUGUCGCCGGUGAUGUAGGCUCUGCUUUGUGGGUGGGGUUGACGUAGCC